rnacentral:rRNA from 1 species
GAUGAACGCUGGCGGCGUGCCUAAUACAUGCAAGUCGAGCGAACAGACGAGGAGCUUGCUCCUCUGACGUUAGCGGCGGACGGGUGAGUAACACGUGGAUAACCUACCUAUAAGACUGGGAUAACUUCGGGAAACCGGAGCUAAUACCGGAUAAUAUAUUGAACCGCAUGGUUCAAUAGUGAAAGACGGUUUUGCUGUCACUUAUAGAUGGAUCCGCGCCGCAUUAGCUAGUUGGCAAGGUAACGGCUUACCAAGGCAACGAUGCGUAGCCGACCUGAGAGGGUGAUCGGACACACUGGAACUGAGACACGGUCCAGACUCCUACGGGAGGCAGCAGUAGGGAAUCUUCCGCAAUGGGCGAAAGCCUGACGGAGCAACGCCGCGUGAGUGAUGAAGGUCUUCGGAUCGUAAAACUCUGUUAUUAGGGAAGAACAAAUGUGUAAGUAACUAUGCACGUCUUGACGGUACCUAAUCAGAAAGCCACGGCUAACUACGUG